GACGAACGCUGGCGGCGUGCCUAACACAUGCAAGUUGAACGGGACCAGGGGCAACUCUGGUUCAGUGGCGGACGGGUGCGUAACACGUGAGGAACAUGCCUAUCGGCGGGGGAUAGCCGGCCCAACGGCCGGGUAAUACCGCGUACGACCUUCAGGUGGCGAUCAUCUGGGGGUGGAAAGACAGCAAUAGCACCGAUAGAGUGCCUCGCGGCCUAUCAGCUAGUUGGNGAGGUAAUGGCUCACCAAGGCGACGACGGGUAGCUGGUCUGAGAGGAUGACCAGCCACAUUGGGACUGAGACACGGCCCAGACUCCUACGGGAGGCAGCAGUGGGGAAUAUUGCGCAAUGGGCGAAAAGCCUGACGCAGCGACGCCGCGUGUGGGA
rnacentral:rRNA from 1 species